rnacentral:rRNA from 1 species
AUUGAACGCUGGCGGCAGGCCUAACACAUGCAAGUCGAACGAGCGGCGGACGGGUGAGUAAUGUCUGGGAAACUGCCCGAUGGAGGGGGAUAACUACUGGAAACGGUAGCUAAUACCGCAUACCAUCAGAUGUGCCCAGAUGGGAUUAGCUAGGAGGUGGGGUAACGGCUCACCUAGGCGACGAGCCCUAGCGGGUCUGAGAGGAUGACCAGCCACACUGGAACUGAGACACGGUCCAGACUCCCACGGGAGGGAGCAGUGGGGAAUAUUGCACAAUGGGCGCAAGCCUGAUGCAGCCAUGCCGCGUGUAUGAAGAAGGCCUUCGGGUUGGAAAGCACUUUCAGCGAGGAGGCGUUACUCGCAGAAGAAGCACCGGCUAACUCCGUGCCAGCAGCCGCGGUAAUAC